rnacentral:misc_RNA from 1 species
UACGGAGGGGGUUAGCGUUGUUCGGAAUUACUGGGCGUAAAGCGCACGUAGGCGGACCAGAAAGUCAGAGGUGAAAUCCCGGGGCUCAACCUCGGAACUGCCUCCAAAACUAUCAGUCUGGAGUUCGAGAGAGGUGAGUGGAAUUCCGAGUGUAGAGGUGAAAUUCGUAGAUAUUCGGAGGAACACCAGUGGCGAAGGCGGCUCACUGGCUCGAUACUGACGCUGAGGUGCGAAAGCGUGGGGAGCAAACGGG